UACGGAGGGUGCAAGCAUUAAUCGGAUUUAUUGGGCGUAAAGGGCGCGUAGGCGGCAGGAUAAGUCAGAUGUGAAAUCCCCGGGGGCUCAACCUCGGAACUGCAUUUGAAACUGUCUUGCUCGAGGGUAGUCGGAGAAAAUGGAAUUCCACAUGUAGCGGUGAAAUGCGUAGAUAUGUGGAAUGAACACCGGUGGCGAAAGCGGUUUUCUAGAUUAUUCCUGACGCUGAGGCGCGAAAGCAAGGGGAUCAAACAGG
rnacentral:rRNA from 1 species